AUUUUACUUCAAAAUGAAAAUUUUUAUCUUCAGCUCCCUGGAGCUUAAGAAUUCUCAGUGAGAUGAAAACUACUGUAAGGGGGACAGAAGUAGAACUGCAGUAAAAAGCCCCUGAGGAGACCUGACCCUGUCUCUUACCUCUUACACAACCAAGACAAAGUGAGACAUCCUUCUGAAUUUCUUUCCCCACGUGGCUUGAAGUGGACAAUAUCUGAGUUUCCAUCAAGUUCUGAAAAUGUGUGACUAGUAAUGGCAACCUGUCCCACUGAAGAGCACUGUUAUUUUGAGAAGAGAGCAGACAAUCUAACCUUAUCAGAAAGCAUACAUGUCUGGUCUUCAGCCGCAGAGAAUUGGAUUUAGUUCCAAACCCACUAAGAGGUAUGUGACUCUGGUAAUCAGAUAGGCUCUUUUGCCCUAUCUCUAUUUUUUAUCCUUUGCCUGUUAUCU
rnacentral:lncRNA from 1 species